rnacentral:lncRNA from 1 species
UAUUCUCUCAUCUCUCAACCACUCAACCUAAUCCAAGCUCCUCUCACCCGCCGACCUCCUUCUCCGGUCCUCUCCGGUGAACACCCUUCAACCUAUAAGCCUCUAAUGCCUCCUCCAUUGCUAUGCUCAUCUUAUCUGAGGCCUUCAAGGGCACUAGGCCACGCCGACUUGUAUCUAGAGUUUGUUGUUUGGGUUGUUCUUGGUUACUUGGGUGUGAUUUUGAGCAAGAUCAUACUGUAUUUGUUA